CUGCUGCUGCAGGUGCAGGGCUAUGCGUGCUCCCUCGACCUCGAGCCAGAUGAAGUGCUUUUUUCUAAGGGAACUUGAAGUGCCAUUUGAGAGAGGGAAAUAAUGACCAAGACCUGGUUAAUUAACAACCAUGGGCCUCCAUGCUGCAAGUUUACAGGGCACAUAGCUGGCAACGGCGUUUGUGGGGUGUGAACCAGGAUGUGCCCCAGCUUGUGUUGUCCCUGUUUCCUUCGCUUUUUUUUUUGUUCCCAUGCAAAAGAUGAUCAGAAUAAUUUGCAAAUGUGUCAUCUAUCUAUAAGGUCCUGUUUGGAACCUUUUUAUAAUUUAUGUUGUCUUCAGGACAUGUUAUAUUGUAAAUUAUAAAUACUAGAUGGACAAAUUAUUAAAAACUUACAAUCUACUCUAUCCGAAAUAAAACCAGAUUAUGAAUUA